rnacentral:lncRNA from 1 species
UUUUGAGUAUAUGACUGCACCUCAUGAGGUACACUGAACUAGAACUGCCCAGUUCCCAAAACAUACUUUUCCUUCUAUUUGCAACUCUUUUUUGUUCUUCUUCAAACCAUGCUGUCCUGCUUUUUCACGCCUGAUUCUGGAUAAUCUCAUGGAUGGAAAGGGUGAAUAACUGGAUCUGUGGACUUUCCUCUCAUCUCCUGGACAUCUAAGGUUUGCCCAUGGUCCACAUUUGCUGAAAUGUAACUCUUAUCUCAUGCACUGGGAGUGAUGAACUUCACUAGGAAAUCAUCGUUCUUUC